AAGUUAAUCCAAAAUUACACAUUAUAUCUGACCUAAAUAGGUUAAAAAAAAAUAAAAUAAAAAAACAGAUAGAUACAGAUUACCAGAGUCUUGAAAGUGGAGAUCACUUCAGAAACUACUGGAGUGAGCCCUGUAGUCCUUAUAUGAUGUUGUGAGCUCAGCCUGCUACUUUCCCAUCAUUUUAAUAAGAAGAUGAUUUUCUUUAGCAGGGGUAGCAUUUGGUGUUAUUUUGUAGAGACUUUCAAGGGUCAGAGUACUAUUGCUGAGACAAUUUUAGCUGCUAGAGAGUUUUGUAUUACUAUAAUUUUUUUUCUUCUGAAAAAUCUUAAACAGGAGUUGGGCUUAUUCCUUAGGAUUUCUGUAUUGUAAGAAGUCACAGAUUUCCCUGUCUGUGAAAUUGAGCAUAUGCAAUAAUCUUUUAUCUUUCUAAAUAUUUUUAGCCUCAUUUCUUUACAGAAAUAAUAUUUUUGCAUUUGUUUGAUCUAUGUGUAUCAGUCCAAAUGUCUUGUCUAAUAACUUUUGAACCCACUAUCUGACGUCAACCAAGUUGGACAGAAAGGCAGAAGUAUCAAAGAUAAUUGAGUUCUUGGUAGUAUUGUAAAAAUAAGACCCCAUAAGCAUUUUGAAAGGGAGGAAAACAGCAGAGAGAGCUCAUGUUUUGUGAAAGGUUAUAAACUCCCAUACCAGAGGAAAAGCUCAGAUCAGGGCUUAAAUAAUGAGGUACAAAUCCACAGGAAAUCAAGCUGCAUUUAUUUCAGGCUUCAUUGUUUCACUUUAGUUUAUAAUAACAUCUUAUGGGAUUUAGAGAUCAAAAAAAUUUAAUCGCAUGUAUUUGUCUUUAUUUACUCUAUUUAGUUUUUGCUGUUCAAGCUCACUGAUGACAGAAUUUUUUUAACUUCAUUUCUUUGUCCACAUCUAAUCAAGCAUCAAUUUAUGAGAGGUGCAAAUGGUAUUUGCUCUUUAAUUAUUUCAGUUCUGAUGUGGCAUGUUCUGAAAAUACUUUUCCACCUUUUCAUGUUUUUGCAACACAAAGACUAUCAUAUAUGAAAAUUGAUUGAAAAAAUCUACAAUCAAUGUGCUGUGGGUUGAUGCUGAUUCUGGGUCUUUGUAAUAAUAGAGCUGGAGAAAUCAUUCUGAACCAUCUUUUGUUUAGUAGGCAUUUUGCUCUCUCUGGGCAUAUGAAGGGAUUUUAUAUCAGUGCUGUUUAAAAGCUGUGCUAGAGAGAAAUUCCCAGACUUGAGUGCUAUUUGAACAUGCAAGAAAAAGCAUUUGCCUUUUCUAGUCAAAUUCUUUUCCUGCCAAGGACCAUCUUUCAUGCUUUUUACCCCACAGGGACAAAGCCUACUCAGUGUUCUUGGACUUGACCUUUACCAGUAAGACUGAACUUUAGGAAUCCUUGGUCCAAUACUACUUAACAUCUUCCUUACUGACCUGAACAAUGGUGCAAAGUGCAGCUUUACUGAGGACAGGACUGGGAGGAGUGUUGAAUAUUCUGCUGUUCUGCUGUUAUUCAGAGUGUUGACAGAAAUCUCAAGAUAUGCUCAAAAAUGGAAAAUUCUGAGUUCUGCACCUGGGGAAGAGUAAUCCUAUGAGGUAUAACUUUUUGAGGUCCAACCAACUGGAAAUCAGCUCUCAGAGUUUAUAAAAACUGAAGAGAGGAUGUAAAGAGUAUGGAGCCAGGUUCUUUUCAGUGAUGACCUGUUACAGUGGGACAAGAGGGAAAGGGUGUAAACUGAAAUGCAGAGAAUUCAUUUUAAAGAUAGGGAUUAAAAUGACCCCUUCUUUGCUGCCAGGACUAUGAAAUAUGUGAAGAGGUGUCUUAGGCUGUGAAGACUCCACCCUUCGAGGUAUCCAAAACCUGACUGGACAUAGCCCUGAGUAACCUGCAGUAGCCACUCUAUUCUGAGCACAGGGCUGGACUAGAUCAUCUGCAGAGGUAGAAAGACAAUUGUGUUCCCAAGUUUAUUUGCAGAAUUGCUUUGCUUUCAUCAAGAGAAUAAGACAUGCAGAAUAUACUAAUGGACAAAUGUUUGUUACAGACCUUCACAACCUUGAGGAAAUAAAAUAAAUAAAGUACUUUUGCAGGGCACAAGCUGGUGGUUAAAUUACACAAGAUAUUUUCUGGGGAGGAAUUCCUUAUGGGUAUGCUCCAAUUCUCUUCUUUCAGUUGUGCAAUAUAAGUUUGCUUUCUACCUGCGCCUAUUGACAGACACACAUGUCUUGUCUAAACCCACCAUACUGAAAUUAGGAGUUUCUGUGAGCCAUUACAGGCUUAACAGUAUGUUUAUUAUUUUUAUUUUUUGAAGUGUUUCUUGUCUUAGAGACCCUUAUGAGAGAUUUGUCUAAUCUUUAGUCCUUGAAUAUGGUUAUCUUUUCAGCAGCAAUUUGUAACUCUCGGCAUUCCUUUUCUACUGAAAAUAUGAAUGUAAAACCCUACAUUAUUUAUUGUUUCUAAAGUGAAUUACAACCUGCAGUUGCCAAGAGGCAGCGGCAAGUUAAAGAGCAAUUUAAUUGUAGAUGUUUUCCUCUUUACUCCUUUAACGCUUUCCUAAGGGAUGGAUAAAUACAACAGGCAGCUGAACAGUAAAGGAGCAAUUCUGAAGACAGAGACAAGUAGAGACAAAGAAAGUCAGAAGAACUUUGUAACUGAGAAAAGUCAUAAGAAAAUCCUCAGGAAACCUGGAUGUUUACAGCCUUAAACGUUAUUUGACCAAAAAUUGGAAUGGCUCAUCUAUAACCACCUUUCCAGUGUUCAAGACUGAAGUCUUUGUGACCUUAGCAACUUGUACAAAUUCCAUGAGGAUUCUUGUCCUCUGAGUCUGAUGUGAUUUUUCUCCAAGAUUUUUUCCUCUUUGUUUGGCUUUUUCUCACCCUGUCCUCUACUGUCAUGUAGUUGCACUUGUACUUGCAUCUAUGUGCAAACAUAAAACAACUGGAGUCCUUAUGGACAGUGUGUAUUAAAACAAGUCCAUUUCAGAUUUAGUAAUGAAAAACAUUGUUAUUAAUGAUGUAAGUUAUAAUCUCCCAUUGUGUUCCACUAUUUGCUGAGGUCUCUGUCCACACACUGGAGUUGGUUACCUUCCAAUCCUAUUACUAUGGAAAUGUCAUACUGUUUUAGUAGGCUGUUCAGGAAGAAGAAAUUUUGCUUUUGAAUCCAAAUCUCCUUUCUCCAGUAUUCCCAAAUGCAAAAAUUUAUUUCAGUUUCUUGGUACUCCCCUGUCUUCUCUAAUUUUUGUCUUUUAUGUCUGGAGUAUUCUACUGUUUUUGAAUGUCAGAUCUUCACACUUUCUGACAGGAUUCUUCUUGAGACCCAGACAUGACAUGGAAAUAAUGCAACAUACAUCAGAUGUGUAAUCUCCUUCUUCUGUGUCUUUCUGUAUAGUUUGUUUUUCUCCAUGCUGGCCAAGUGAACAGUUUUGUUACAGAGUGCUAAGUUAACCCAUGUAGGUAUGUACUCACACAAGCCAGACUACAGAGGGACAUCCUCUAGCAGCAAGUUUUGUUGGUGCUAAACAAAUAACCGUCAUACUCCACAAUUUCAAUUUCCAGAACUUCUGUCUCUACCUGAUUUAACGUUUAUUGAUUGAAUGGACUGGUUUAUUUGAGGACAGUCUGUAUUUUAAAUUUUGCUCAAUCUGAAUCUUUGACAACUGUAAAUAUAGAUUCCCUUUAUAUUACACAUCAGAUUUCUCUAUUCCCUGCUGCGCAUGCAUAGCUUUCAUUCUGGGAUAUAAAUAAAUGUACUAUGAAGGAAAAGCUUUUUCUAUUGAUGGCCAAGAAUAUAUGCCAUUACUUGGAAACGAAUAUUAUUGCCUUAUUUUUUUUUCCUCACACAGUAUAAUACUUUACCUUACUUCUCCUUGUACUUGGUUUAUUUAUCUUCAACAGAAAUUCUCUGUCCUGAGGGAUUAUGAUACUCUAACUUGACUUUCUUUUCCUUUCCUUUAAUGUCACUGUUUCAUCUCUCUAUAAGGAGGAAUAAAGCUCUCAAAGACUUUUGCAAGAUUAACAGCGAUUUUAAUACACCACAUAACUUUUCUUUUUUAAAGUCACUGUUAUAUUUGCACAAAAAAAAAAAAAA